CACACCCAGGCUGAGGAGCUGUGGUGGAGCCUGGGGCCAGGGAAGUCACCCGACAGGGGCUCCAGUCAAGGACAGCAGCAGGUGGCAGCUGAGUGGCCCUGCCCGCCCCCCCGGGGGUGGACCUGUGCUGGAAGGCCCUGCGGAAGCAGCGGACUGUCCAGACCUGAGGCGCAGCAGCACGGAACCUGGAGCCACAGGGGACUUCUGCAAGUGGAGUCCAGACAGGGAGACCGAGGUGAAGCAGCCUGCCCACUGCCCAGAGCCAAGGGCGGCUGCAGGCUCACCAACAGUGGGGUUGUGCACUUUAGUACACUGUGCCAGGGAGGACAGGCUCCCUAGCGUCCCUGUCCUUCCUAGGGGACAUCAGCAGAUGAGACCCACAAAGAUGACCGCAGAGAAUUUUCUGUCAGGAGAACGGAGGCCUCCAGCCUCAGUCUGCCCCCAGGAACCCCCGGAGGCAGUGUACACCCUCUGGGAGUCCAGCCACUGUUGGGUGGCAUUGUUCCACGGGGAUGUGACCAGCCUGUGAGGUGACUGUCCACCCCCGUGGUCGCCAAGCUGAAGACUGACACCCUCUAGAUCAAGGUGCUGGCAGAGAAACUGGGUCAGCUGGGAUGGGACUCCAGACAGUGCAUCUCCAGGUGACCGUCACCACCUCGUUGCUUUCUCUGCAGCCUGUACACUUCUGGCAAUCACUCUAUGGGGACGGCUGCACAGGUUGAGCACAGGCACAACAAAAGAACCCUGCGUUAUCAUUCAUGAUCUGAAAUGCAGACAAUUAAACAGUCACCCGUAAAGUGAAGAAUUAGGUAACCCUAAGUGUGGUGGUACUUACUUAUCAUGAGCACAUGAUAAGCCACCAAGAAAGCCAGUCUCACUGCAGUGUCCCCACAACACCAUUUCUGUGCAGUGACUGAGGUGUGCUCCUUUUGUCUUCCUUCCUUUCUUUCUUUUUUUCUUCUUUUUGUGUUAGAUAUUGAACCCAGGGGUGCUUUACCACUGAGCCACAUCCCCAGCCCUUUUUAUUCUUUAUUUUGAGACAGGGCCUCACUGAGUUGCUGAGGCUGGCCUUGAACUUAUGAUCCUCCUGCCUCAGCCUCCCGAGUUGUUGGAUAUGAAAACGUGGCCCCUGCACCC
rnacentral:lncRNA from 1 species